GGUUUCUUGGUGAUAAGAACACUUGACUCCCUAUUUGCCAAGAGCUUGUUGGGCCGCUGUCUCUUAAGUUGUGGCCUCAGGAGUCCCUUCUGAAGUUGCGUUUUAAUUGCCUUUUCCUGUUGACAUCACAUUGAAGGAGACGAUAUGGCGAGGAACAGAGAUAGUGUACAGAAGCUGAGCACACAAGUGCAGGAUUCUAACCUUUACAUAGCUGACACCAAGCUCCUUACGAGUGUAACCACGUGCCAAAUUACGCAUCACAUAUUCGUUGUAAUCUUUGAUGAUGCGCAUGAUCA